rnacentral:misc_RNA from 1 species
GAUGAAGAACGCAGCGAAAUGCGAUAAGUAAUGUGAAUUGCAGAAUUCAGUGAAUCAUCGAAUCUUUGAACGCACAUUGCGCCCGCCAGUAUUCUGGCGGGCAUGCCUGUUCGAGCGUCAUUUCAACCAUCAAGCCCCAGGCUUGUGUUGGGGACCUGCGGCUGCCGCAGGCCCUGAAAACCAGUGGCGGGCUCGCUGUCACACCGGGCGUAGUAGAUUUUAUCUCGCUCAGGGCGUGCUGCGGGUUCCGGCCGUUAAAAAGCCUUUUUUACCCAAGGUUGACCUCGGAUCAGGUAGGAAGACCCGCUGAACUUAAUCAUAUCAAUAAGCGGAGGA